rnacentral:rRNA from 1 species
CAGCAGCCGCGGGAAAACGAAGGGUGCAAGCGUUACUCGGAAUUACUGGGCGUAAAGCGUGUGUAGGUGGUUGUUUAAGUCUGUCGUGAAAGCCCUGGGCUCAACCUGGGAAUUGCGAUGGAUACUGGGCGACUAGAGUGCGGUAGAGGAUAGUGGAAUUUCCGGUGUAGCAGUGAAAUGCGUAGAGAUCGGAAGGAACAUCUGUGGCGAAGACGACUGUCUGGGCCAACACUGACACUGAGGCACGAAAGCGUGGGGAGCAAACAGGAUUAGAUACCCCUGUAGUCCCUGUCUCUUAUAC